UACGUAGGGGGCAAGCGUUGUCCGGAUUUAUUGGGCGUAAAGAGCGUGUAGGCGGCUUGACAAGUCUGCUGUGAAAACUCGAGGCUCAACCUCGAGACGUCGGCGGAAACCAUCUGGCUAGAGUCCGGAAGAGGAGAGUGGAAUUCCUGGUGUAGCGGUGAAAUGCGCAGAUAUCAGGAAGAACACCCGUGGCGAAGGCGGCUCUCUGGGACGGUACUGACGCUGAGACGCGAAAGCGUGGGGAGCGAACAGG
rnacentral:rRNA from 1 species